rnacentral:rRNA from 1 species
UUGGGAAAGCGAGCGGCGGAUGGGUGAGUAACACGUGGGGAACCUGCCCCUAAGUCUGGGAUACCAUUUGGAAACAGGUGCUAAUACCGGAUAAUAAAGCAGAUCGCACGAUCAGCUUUUGAAAGGCGGCGUAAGCUGUCGCUAAGGGAUGGCCCCGCGGUGCAUUAGCUAGUUGGUAAGGUAACGGCUUACCAAGGCGACGAUGCAUAGCCGAGUUGAGAGACUGAUCGGCCACAUUGGGACUGAGACACGGCCCAAACUCCUACGGGAGGCAGCAGUAGGGAAUCUUCCACAAUGGACGCAAGUCUGAUGGAGCAACGCCGCGUGAGUGAAGAAGGUUUUCGGAUCGUAAAGCUCUGUUGUUGGUGAAGAAGGAUAGAGGUAGUAACUGGCCUUUAUUUGACGGUAAUCAACCAGAAAGUCACGGCUAACUACGUGCCAGCAGCCGCGGUAAUACGUAGGUGGCAAGCGUUGUCCGGAUUUAUUGGGCGUAAAGCGAGCGCAGGCGGAAAAAUAAGUCUAAUGUGAAAGCCCUCGGCUUAACCGAGGAACUGCAUCGGAAACUGUUUUUCUUGAGUGCAGAAGAGGAGAGUGGAACUCCAUGUGUAGCGGUGGAAUGCGUAGAUAUAUGGAAGAACACCAGUGGCGAAGGCGGCUCUCUGGUCUGCAACUGACGCUGAGGCUCGAAAGCAUGGGUAGCGAACAGGAUUAGAUACCCUGGUAGUCCAUGCCGUAAACGAUGAGUGCUAAGUGUUGGGAGGUUUCCGCCUCUCAGUGCUGCAGCUAACGCAUUAAGCACUCCGCCUGGGGAGUACGACCGCCAAGGUUGAAACUCAAAAGGAAUUGACGGGGGGCCCGCACAA